rfam:Bacteria symbiont BFo2 of Frankliniella occidentalis strain BFo2 contig032, whole genome shotgun sequence.
CCCAGAGGUAUUAAUCGGUGAACAUCUAUCCAUGGAUUACACCAGCCUGCGCGUCCGCGCAGGUUUUUUUU